UACAGAGGUCUCAAGCGUUGUUCGGAUUCAUUGGGCGUAAAGGGUUCGUAGGUGGCUUGUUAAGUCAGACGUGAAAUCCCUCGGCUCAACCGGGGAACUGCGUCUGAGACUGAUGAGCUCGAGUGCAGGAGAGGAACGCGGAAUUCCAGGUGUAGCGGUGAAAUGCGUAGAUAUCUGGAGGAACACCGGUGGCGAAGGCGGCGUUCUGGACUGCAACUGACACUGAGGAACGAAAGCCAGGGGAGCAAACGGG
rnacentral:rRNA from 1 species